UACGUCUAGCUGCAUAACUGGUCGCGGUUAUUUGUGUACGUGUGCCCACUGCAAAUGUAUGUGGAGUGCGAGUGAAUUGAGAUAUUAGAACAGUCAUCGAAUCAUUUUUAACGCGUGAUUCUUCGAAAACUCAUCGAUAACCGACAGUUCUAUUACGUUUCUGCGUUUUUAUUGGUGUUGUAGACGCACGGUUGUGUACGAUGCUUUACAACACGUGUGUGGUAUCGACUUACAAUGGCUGCCAGAAGUAUUUGCACACUAUUGGCUCUAUCGUCAUAUUAAUUAUUUGACUACGAGAGAUGUUAAAUUUUAUAUCAUUUAGUAGCGUUCUCACGCAACUGCAAAAAUGUAAUAUCGCGGAUAUCAUGACACAGAAUCUGGUAAAAAAUGCUUCAUUGGAAAAUAAAUAUGUGCCGCUACUUUUCGUAGUUACUGUAAAUGGUGGAACAUUUCACGGAAUGUCCACUAUGAUUUAUACAUAUUAUCUACGUAAAACUUUAUGACAUAGAAAAAAGCUUUGUUGGUGUUGAUGAAGAUCACUUGUUAACAAUUGUAGACAAAUGUUAAUGAAAAGCUCUCGACAGUGUUAAUGAGUGGGUAAGAGAAAGUAGAAAAGAUUGAUAAGAAUCCAGAAGAAAAUAUCCAAUUGGAAUGUAAAAGAAUACAAAAUUUCUCUGUCCAUUACAACAACUACGCUUGCUACGUUUUUGCAAUAAAAUAGCAAUUAUAAGUCAACUAUAAAUGAUUUAUUUCAUCGUUUAAGUGGAAAUAACAGAAGACAAAGUGGAUUUAAAAGACAGCUAAGUUUCUUCAUUUUUGUAUUAUAAGACAUUACGAUAUAGAAAUAAUAUAACAAUUGUUGUAGUUGCCAGCGUAUGAAGAUGAAGGGAAUUCAUUUUACUUCUCUUCAAAUCCAUAUUACGGAUUACAAAUUUUGUACAUUUGCAAAAAUACAUCGCACUGAGUUCGAAGAAGAUAAAAUUAGAUAAUUUCUCCGAUAAAAUCAGCUGGUUUGUACUAUCGAUUCUAAGAACAGCGGAUAAUUCGUAAAAAAAACGAACUGAAUUCUUUAGAAUUCUAUAUAAGAAUCUCAUCCAUUCACUGAUAUGCCAGUUUCAGUCGAGCCUGGUUUGCGUUUUUUUAUUCUACGAUAAUUGUAUCUGUAUUUUUAUCAGUAAUCUUUAUUCUUUGACGUAAACUACUGAAACUGAGAUUAAACAAUGAACAAAAUUAAGUCAAAUUAUUCUAGUCGCUUUUAACUUAACAGUACCAGAGUCAGGGAUUGAUAUAGUACAAAUAUUUAUCAUAAAACGUUAGACAUUUUAUUCGAUAUUGUAUCGUUCAAAUAACCAUUAAUUUUAAGGGUUCGUGAAAAUUUAUAAACACCAUUCUAAAUAUUCUAAAGCAUUUAAAUAAUUCUGUAGUGUUAUUACAUACGCAUCUAACCUGAAAAAAUUAUGUCAUAAUUUUAUACCGUGCGAAAAGAUCACAUUUUCAACUUCUCUUUCGAUAAUUUAUUUUUUAACAAGCAUAAUAAAUGUAGAAAUAUUUUCUCGCUUAAAUGAUAUUUUCCACUUUUUAAUUUUUAUAUUUAAAAGUUAAAGAAUUUCUGUUAUAUGUUCGAGCAAUUUGUCUAUAAAUAAAAAUUGUGACUAUAAAUUAUAGUUAUAAAUUAGUCGGAUGACUCCCCGCAGAAACUGAUAAAUAGAUAAACCGUCGUUCCAACAGCAAGUGCAUUUGAAUACAAAGUAGAAGUAAUCAUAGAACUUUUGAUGACACAAUUACUUGGACAAGAAAAACAAUAUUUUCAUCUCAUCUCGCGUACUAAAUAAUGGUUGGGUAAGUGUUGAAAUCAUUUUUUAUUUAUCCGCAGUAGAUAUUACACAGCGCGCAAUAACAUGAAUCACAUUUUAUCGAAUUUAUCAUAUUAUUAUUAUUCAACUUCAUAAUGUGUGUUAAAAAAGAUAAAGAAGCGGAAGCGACUCACUUUUAGAUCACAUCUCUAUAUUUUCUAUUUAUUAAAAAUAUUUAACAAAAUAUAUACUAAAAUACAUGCAAAAUCAUAUACAGUAAAUAACGGCAUUUUCAAUUAAAAAAUUUUCUUUGUAACAAAUUAAUUAAUCUUCCAUCGAUAAUCAAACAAUUUCCAUCGACAAUAUUGAGAUAACGUUCAAUUAAUUUGUAUUUUUCAAAAUUUCCUGUUUUCGUCUGUGUUGCAAAUUUCGAUACAGUAACGAUAAUAUUUGAAGGAAAAAAUCCAAACUCAAACGUGAUAUUAAGCAUUAAUUUCGCGUCAGAGUUUCAUAGUUUGGAACAACACAAAAAUUUUACAAUAUUUCAGCGCUGGCGUAUAAAUUUAAUUUUCGUGUUCUGUAUUUUAAAUAAAUGUACAAAGAGCAAAAGUAACAUACUACGCCAUGCAAAAGUAUCGUUUCUAAAUACAAAGGCUAUGCAAGUCUUUUAUUUAUAGACGAAAAAAUAGCUAAUUUCUGUAUCAUAGAGAUAUUGCCAUAUCUAACUAAAGAAACAAUUUUCCAAUUUCAGACUCGUGCGUUUCCACAAAAUCAUAAGGCUCAAAGUAUAACGAGAUCGAGCUGAAGUUCCCUGUCGGAUUAGUUGUUAACACGAUAGAAUUUGCUAGUCGAUAUAAACUCUGUUCGACCUGUAUCUAUAAAUCCUGUAAUUAAUUUGAAGUUGUCCUAAUUCUUGCAUUGCUAGCGCGGAAAAAUCCACCUGCCUAAAUACAAAACAACAAUACGCAUCAUGCUCAUUUAUCCACAAUGCAUACACACUUGUAACAAUUUUUUAAUUCGAUACAUAUACGAGUGUAAGUAUUCAAAUUUUAUCAUCCAAGCCAUCAAUCGCUUAUAACGUAAUGAAACGAAUCCACUCGAUUCAGCGCUCGAAUCGUAUCGACCUUUUUGAUAAUCGAUGUUUCAAGACCCAUAUUAAUAUAUAUUGCGAUCGUAUUCCUGGAAAUGCACUCGUUUGUAACGGUGAAAUUGAAUAACAAAUUUUAAUUUGCAUUGUAUUAAUUGUUUUCAGCCUCCUCGUUUGUAAAAAUCAGAUUGAAUAACAAAUUUUAGUUCGUAUUACAUUAAUUCGUUUCACUCUGUUGGCCUUAGUUUUAUAUGGUUUAUAAACAUAAAACAAAACUAGAACUAAGCCUACAGAUUUUUAGUUUGAAAACUAAAACUAAACUUCUAAGUUAUAGUUAAGUAACCUCGUUUGUAACAAUCAGAUUGAAUAAGAAAUUUUAGUUCGUAUUGUAUUAAUUCGUUGCACUCUGCUGGCCUAAAGAUUGGACUUGGUUUUACAUGGUUUAUAAACAUAAAGCAAAACUAGAACUAAGCCUACAGAUUUUUAGUUUGGAAACUAAAACUAAAUUUCCAAGUUUUAGUUAAGUACCCACGUCUGUAACAGUCAGAAUAACACAAUUUGAAAACAAA